GUCCACGCCCUAAACGAUGACGACUGGAUGUCGGAAGGGUCUGCCUUUUCGGUGUCGUAGCUAACGCGUUAAGUCGUCCGCCUGGGGAGGUACGGCCGCAAGGUUGAAACUACAAAGGAAUUGACGGGGACCCGGCACAAGCGGUGGAGCAUGUGGUUCAAUUCGAUGCAACGCGAAGAACCUUACCUGGUCUUGACAUCCACGGAACUGGGCAGAAAUGUCCGGGUGCCUUCGGGAAUCGUGAGACAGGUGCUGCAUGGCUGUCGU
rnacentral:rRNA from 1 species